AUGGAUGCCUCCACUAGCGGCUGUUGCAUGGUGCAAUCAUUUGCUGGGGAGGGAAUCGAAAUCAUUCGCCGCUCCGAGGAUUGGGUUUGGAUCGUGCGUGCGUGGGUGCGCGCGGCCAUCGCCUUGUGCUUGAGCGUGGAGGAGCUGAAGCAGAGCUUGCUGGCGGCGACCAUGGAGCUGGAGGUGUCCAAGGAGGAGCUGCGGCGGAAGGAGCAGAGCAUCGCCAAGCUCGCCGACCUCGUGCGCCAGGUUGCCAAGGAGCGCGACGAGGCGCGGGACCAGGUGCAGCAGCUGCUCCUCGCCGCGGCCAAGCAGGCGGCGCCGCCGGUGCACCACACUGCGCCCGCGCCGGCGCUGGGCACGUCGAGCGUCACCGACUCGGACUGCAGCCUGGUGUCGUCCCCGGUGGACCCCUUCUUCGACCCCGUCACCUCCUCCGACCGGCGCCGCUGCGGCAAGCUCGGCGCCGCCAGCCCGCCCCCGCCGGCCAAGCAGCAGCAGCAGCAGAUGUGCGGCGCCGAGGCGGUGCUCGACAUGCUCGCCGCCAAGAAGCCGCUGCCGCCGAGGGGCCGGCUGCUGCAGUCCGUCAUGGAGGCGGGGCCCCUGCUGCAGAACCUGCUCGUGGCCGGGCCGCUCCCGCGCUGGCGCAACCCGCCCCCGGUGCACGCGCUCGACACGCUCCCCGUCGGCGGCGGCGGAGUCUACAUGAACACGACAACCCUGCACAACGCCGGCGCGCCGCUCGGCUUCGCCCCAAACGCCAACAGCGCCUGCAUGAAGCGGCCGAUGGCGGCGAUCCCCACCAUGCCCAUGGCCGCCACGAGCUGCUCGCCGUCGCCGGGCUUCGUCGCCAAGCGGCACCGGCUGCAUUGA
rnacentral:rRNA from 1 species